GGAAGCAGUAAUUAAGAACAAAGAAGACAGCUAACUCCCAGUUAUGUAUGAUAUGAAUGAUAGGAAUGAGAGUGGGUGCAAGGAAAGAAGCAUGGCACAGCCUCUCUUCAUCAUCCCUGGAGAUGCAAUAAAAGCAUAGCAGACAGGAGGACCGCAGGUGGCCACUUGCCUAGUGCUCUGGUAAACAGAGCAGGUUUCCACUAGGGCCUUUCUUAACUCUGCCUGUUGGCAUUUCCGGGCUUCUUCAGCUCCAAUUCUGGGAUCUAUGAG